GGUUCUAUAGUAAAAUAAAUAACGUUAGAUUGCAAAUCUAAAAAUGUGUGAGAAGCACUAGAACUU
rnacentral:tRNA from 1 species